UAAGACAGACGAUCGCGGCCGGAUGCGCGAGUAUCCGGGUGAGGAAAGUCCGGGCUUCACAGGGCAGGAUGCCGGAUAACGUCCGGUGGAGGCGACUCCAAGGCUAGUGCAACAGAAAUAAACCGCCAAAAAGAAGGCUUUGCAGUAACCUUAUGGGAAGAAUGCAAAGCAAACAACUUUUGGUAAGGGUGGAAAGGCAGCUUAAGAGACUACCGUCCGUCCGGUAACGGGCGGAGCCAUGUAAACCCCAUCCGAAGCAAGACCAAACAGAAAGCGACAGGUCGGCCCGGCCUGCUUUCAGGUAGGUCGCUAGAGGCGGCUGGCAACAGCCGCAGUAGAUAGAUGAUCGUCCAACGACAUAACCCGGCUUAUCGUCUUGCUU
rnacentral:RNase_P_RNA from 1 species